rnacentral:rRNA from 1 species
UACAGAGGGGGCGAGCGUUGUUCGGAAUUACUGGGCGUAAAGGGCGCGUAGGCGGCCUUCUAAGUCGGACGUGAAAUCCCUCGGCUCAACCGAGGAACUGCGUCCGAUACUGGUUGGCUUGAAUUCGGGAGAGGGAUGCGGAAUUCCAGGUGUAGCGGCGAAAUGCGUAGAUAUCUGGAGGAACACCGGUGGCGAAGGCGGCAUCCUGGACCGAUAUUGACGCUGAUGCGCGAAAGCCAGGGGAGCAAACGGG